rnacentral:sRNA from 1 species
GUCUGAUUGGCAGCUGUGGGCUCUUGUGUCCUCUGCCGGUUCCCCUUCAUCAGCAGCUGCAUGAUCUGGGAAGGGGAGACGGAUAUGACUGAGUGAUUGUCCUGCCCGUGGUUCCUAGCCAGUUGCUGGCGACUUGCCUCCUUGGCAUUGAUGGUGGACACUUCGGUGAUCCCGGCCACCUGGAUCACCCCCUUGGAGUCUUCCCUCAGCUCCAGUGACGGUGAAGUGCUGCGGGGUCCUGCCUGACACAUGAGGAAUUUCAAGCUAAACUCUAGCCUGUGGAGGGUCAGAUCUCAGAACCCAGGACCCUGACCCCAAACCAGAAGGCUCUUAACUGCAUCUCUGCAGCCCCGGGGCCCUCAAGACCCUGCCUGGCCCUCCACGCCCAGCCUCUAGUCCGAUGCAGAACAAGGCAGGCCGAGAGCUGCUGACAGUUGGGUGACUCGUGUGAAAAAAGCAGUGGAAGAAAUGGUGCUGUAAUCUCCCUCAGGGCUAUGAAGAGCCCAGGGGAACAGUGUGCAACACAUGCUGAGUCCUCUUUCAAGGAGUCAUGAAGAGGAAGAGUAGGCGUGGAGGCAGGAGAAGGGACUUCACCAACUGCCCUCACCCCAAGACUCUGCUAUCAAAUGUAUCAUGGCAAGAACAAGCAGAGGACAGGCGGAGUGGCAACAUCUGAGGCUCCCUUGCACAAGGGAAUGACACAGUACACAUGCGUAAGCUGGGUCCUCAUAGAGGACCAAGAGGAAGGCAGAGACAGUAGCUGUGCCCCACCUUCACCACUCCCAGGGAUCAGCAGGAGAGCCAGGACUUGUUCCAAAGGACUUGUGAAUAGGCCAGGCAUGGAAAGGCAUCAGCAAGCAACAGAGGCUGGUCGUGAAGGCAUUGCCAAGUCCACCUGGACACCCAGUUUCUUUGAUGACCAAAUGCUCCCGCAUCAAAGCACCAAAUGUCAUCCCACAUGCCACCAUCCCACUUAAUGAGGGCUUUGUCUGGGAUCCAUCUGUCAGGACCCCGGAUUAUCAAUGUUGUUUCUGACUGUCACAGUGCACAAGGGAGCCCUUGUGCCCCUUGACCAGGUAAACCAUCGCUGAGCCAGAAAGGAUUGGGAAGGAAGCCUGGGAUGCCACGGAGAUUGGCUUGGGGUAUUCAGGACAGUGCAAUUCAUCUGUGAAGCACCUACAAUGUGCCCCAUACAUGGGAAAGGCCUUAGAGAAAUAGGAGAAUGAGGCCUGGUGUCUUGCUUUCUGACACACUCAGAUUCAUAACCAGGGGAGAGCUGGUGUACGGAGGAGAGAUCCCCAGAUACAGCCCUGCUGGCACAGGAAGGCAACCUGGAAGAGACGACCUUGGUAAAGUGUCUUCAAGGUUGAGCAGGAGGCAGCCAAGAAAGGUGGGGCAGAAGAACAUUCAAGAGAAAAACAUGAGCAAGAAGGCCAGGAGGUAAAAGGCCGGACAUGGUCUCUGGUCUCUAGGAAGAAAUUCAGGUUGGAAAGAAAGCCUGCAGUUGUGGACUGGAGAGAUGGCUCAGUGGUUAAGAGCACUGACUGCUCUUCCAGAGGUCCUGAGUUCAAUUCCCAGCAACCACAGGGUGGCUCACAACCCUCUGUAAUGGGAUCCAAUGACCUCUUCUGGCCUGCAGGCAUGCACGCAGGCAAAUCACUAUUACAUAAGAAAGCCUGCAGUUUUGCUUUGGUACUGCUUCCUGGGUAUCCUCACACGGUAGACCCAGGCCCUGCUGUAAGCUCGUGAUGACCCUGGCUUUGGAACCCUCUGAAUGCCACCCUGGCUGAUGGUACACAACACAGGUCCAAGGACAUUUGCUCAAUACAGCUGCCUUUAGGGGCAGUUUGGGAUGUCCAGGCACCAGGCUAAAGGCUUUUUUGGUCUUCUCUCUCUCUCUCUCUCUCUCUCUCUCUCUCUCUCUCUCUUUCAAGAUAGGGUUUCUCUGUGUAGUAC